CUUUUUCUUUCCCGGAGCUUGCUCCACGAAAGAAAAAGAGUGGCGAACGGGUGAGUAACNNNUGGGUAACCUGCCCAUCAGAAGGGGAUAACACUUGGAAACAGGUGCUAAUACCGUAUAACACUAUUUUCCGCAUGGAAGAAAGUUGAAAGGCGCUUUUGCGUCACUGAUGGAUGGACCCGCGGUGCAUUAGCUAGUUGGUGAGGUAACGGCUCACCAAGGCCACGAUGCAUAGCCGACCUGAGAGGGUGAUCGGCCACACUGGGACUGAGACACGGCCCAGACUCCUACGGGAGGCAGCAGUAGGGAAUCUUCGGCAAUGGACGAAAGUCUGACCGAGCAACGCCGCGUGAGUGAAGAAGGUUUUCGGAUCGUAAAACUCUGUUGUUAGAGAAGAACAAGGAUGAGAGUAGAACGUUCAUCCCUUGACGGUAUCUAACCAGAAAGCCACGGCUAACUACGUGCCAGCAGCCGCGGUAAUACGUAGGUGGCAAGCGUUGUCCGGAUUUAUUGGGCGUAAAGCGAGCGCAGGCGGUUUCUUAAGUCUGAUGUGAAAGCCCCCGGCUCAACCGGGGAGGGUCAUUGGAAACUGGGAGACUUGAGUGCAGAAGAGGAGAGUGGAAUUCCAUGUGUAGCGGUGAAAUGCGUAGAUAUAUGGAGGAACACCAGUGGCGAAGGCGGCUCUCUGGUCUGUAACUGACGCUGAGGCUCGAAAGCGUGGGGAGCGAACAGGAUUAGAUACCCUGGUAGUCCACGCCGUAAACGAUGAGUGCUAAGUGUUGGAGGGUUUCCGCCCUUCAGUGCUGCAGCAAACGCAUUAAGCACUCCGCCUGGGGAGUACGACCGCAAGGUUGAAACUCAAAGGAAUUGACGGGGGCCCGCACAAGCGGUGGAGCAUGUGGUUUAAUUCGAAGCAACGCGAAGAACCUUACCAGGUCUUGACAUCCUUUGACCACUCUAGAGAUAGAGCUUCCCCUUCGGGGGCAAAGUGACAGGUGGUGCAUGGUUGUCGUCAGCUCCUGUCCUGAGAUGUUGGGUUAAGUCCNNNAACGAGCGCAACCCNUNNNGUUAGUUGCCAUCAUUUAGUUGGGCACUCUAGCGAGACUGCCGGUGACAAACCGGAGGAAGGUGGGGAUNNNGUCAAAUCAUCAUGCCCCUUAUGACCUGGGCU
rnacentral:rRNA from 1 species